UACACCCACAUUCCUUUGCAGCACUUUGGAGUGGAUUAUAGACUGCCUUGAAUAUCUCACUUUCGUAUUCUGUGAGUCCCCAGACCUCAUCUUAUUUACCUGCUGCGUUAUUCUUUCACUUUCAAGGUUCUAGUCUCGAAUUUUAUUUGCUGAUCACUGUGCUUUUAAAUAAGAUAGCAAGAAUUAUGUGCUACCCGUCCUUCUGACUAUUUAUUGAGUAUUUACUAUGUGCCAAGGAUGUGAUCCAUCCCAAUCACCAUCCUUGGCUCCCUCUUGCCCUCAACUUACUCAGUUCCAACUAUUGGGACUUAUUCCCAUCUCAGAGCCUUUCCAUUUGUCUUCUGGCUGCCCGGAGUGCCCUUCCCCAGAACCUCUCACUGUUUACUUUCCUUAAUCUCAUGUCCUCAGAGAGACUUCUUCUGACCCAUCUCUCAUGUAUUUUCUCUCUAUCUUAUUAUCCCUCACUUUGUAUAGAGCACAUAUGAUUAUCUAAAAUCAACUUGUAACUUGUGCACAUAGUACGGUACUUGAUUUUUCAGUAGGUGCUCUGCCUUUUGAAUCAGUGAAUCAGUUGUGUCAGGCAAAUAGGCACCUGCCCUGCAUGCAUUGGAGAAGGAAAUGGCAACCCACUCCAGUGUUCUUGCCUGGAGAAUCCCAGGGACAGAGGAGCCUGGUGGGCUGCCGUCUAUGGGGUCACACAGAUUCGGACACGGCUGAAGCGACUUAGCAGCAGCUACUUAGUCUUUGCGGAGAAGACUGACAAUGCAGUUAACCCUCACUCUAUCUGCAGUUGUUUAUUCCCAUCAUUACAGCACUGAUGUGUUAGGACUUAGUUGAAGAGAGUUUUUGUCCCCUACCUACUGCAACAUUGCUAUUGAGGCACUCUCUGGCUGGAAGAUGAGACUCCGUUAUUCCAAAGCUUCAACCAGGCGCCAGAGG